rnacentral:rRNA from 1 species
GGGAUUAGAUACCCCGGUAGUCCACGCUGUAAACGUUGUGUACUAGGUGUUAGUGGCUUGACCACUAUGGCCGUCGCAAACGCAUUAAGUACACCGCCUGGGGAGUACGUCCGCAAGGAUGAUACUCAUAGUAAUUGACGGGGGCCCGCACAAUCGGUGGAGCAUGUGGUUUAAUUCGAUGAUACGCGUAGAACCUUACCUGGGCUUGAACUGUACUUGAUCGGUGUAGAGAUACACCCUCCUUCGGUCAGGUGCAGAGGUGCUGCAUGGUUGUCGUCAGCUCGUGUCGUGAGAUGUUGGGUUAAGUCCCGCAACGAGCGCAACCCUUACCCCUUGUUGCCAUCAGGUAAUGCUGAGCACUCUAGGGGAACUGUCGGUGAUAAACCGGAGGAAGGUGGGGAUGACGUCAAAUCAUCACGGCCCUUAUGUCCAGGGCUACACACGUGCUACAAUGGCCGGUACAAUGAGUUGCGAGACCGCGAGGUGGAGCUAAUCUCAAAAAACCGGUCUCAGUUCGGAUUGCAGUCUGCAACUCGACUGCAUGAAGCUGGAAUCGCUAGUAAUCGCGGAUCAGCACGCCGCGGUGAGUACGUUCCCGGGCAUUGUACACACCGCCCGUCACACCACCCGAGUUGGCAGCACCCGAAGUGGCUGAUCUAACUUCGUGAGGAAGGUUACUAAGGUGAAGCUGGUGAGGGGGGUGAAG